rnacentral:RNase_P_RNA from 2 species
GUGAGCUGGCGGACGGCCUUCGAGCAUCCGCUCGGGAUGCUUGAGGAAACUCCGUCCACCACACAGCCCGCAACGCCGCAAGGCGUAGGGCGAGAGCCCUGGCUCCGGAACAGAAACGGAACGUCCACGCAGUCGGUGACGAGGAGGCGUGUUAAGUCGCUGAGUAGACUGCGUGGAAACGUUGAAACGGCCGACCUGCGGGGUGGAAGGGCGAAUAGGCGCCGAUGAUCGUCUGUGGUGAAGGCGCGGGUAGCCCGUUCAGCCGAAUGCCGUCUAGAACAGAAGGCGGGUUACGACCAGCACAC